UACGUAGGGCGCAAGCGUUAUCCGGAAUUCUUGGGCGUAAGGAGCUCGUAGGCGGUUUGUCGCGUCUGCCGUGAAAGUCCGGGGCUCAACUCCGGAUCUGCGGUGGGUACGGGCAGACUAGAGUGAUGUAGGGGAGACUGGAAUUCCUGGUGUAGCGGUGAAAUGCGCAGAUAUCAGGAGGAACACCGGUGGCGAAGGCGGGUCUCUGGGCCGAUACUGACGCUGAGGAGCGAAAGCGUGGGGAGCGAACAGG
rnacentral:rRNA from 1 species